GUGAGAAGGGAGUGGCAGAACAAGUCAUAUCAAGAAGAGACAGCUGUAAUUUCAUAAAGACAUCAAGUGGUAGAGAGAAGUGUAAUGCUUAAGGUUUGGUAACAAUUAAAAAAAAAAGUUACUACUUUUCUAAAAGCAGAGCAUCUCUACUUCUAUUUUUGUAGUAGUUGUCGUUGUACACACUUCGACUCAAUCAGAAUCACAUUACAUCAUCAGAUGUAGACAAAAGCUAGAGAAGCCAGAUUUGUCUAAGGAAAUGUAACAUUGUUAGAAAGGAUCUUCCUCAUGCAUACGUAUAUAUACACCUAUUUGUAUAGAUACACUUGAAAUUCUACAUCUACAAAGUCUAAAUCUCCUUAUUUUUGGGUUGGUUACUUGCUUUUGUGUUCUUCAAGUGCAACUCCACUUCUGGCCGUUCCAUCCAUGGCAGAGGCAGGAUCUUUUCGUUCCUUCACCGCCUCAGAUCUAGUUUACUCACCAUUGAAGAUCUAGAUCUCCUUCCCUUCUUCUUGAGACGUUUUCCUUCAGGUCUCGGGAUGCUGAUUUGGUCUCACCGCCGUUCGUGGUAAGGAGAAUCUUGGUUUUGAUUCCUUUUGUGAGGGUUCCUAGUAUCAGAUCUGUUGAUUCUAUCUUUGUUUUAGAUUUUGUAUUUUUAAUUUUAAUUAUCAGGAUUAUAAAUCCGGGAAGUAUUUGUUAAGAUAUGAUGUAUUUGUAGUUUGGGUUUCCUUUCCCUUUAGUUUGCUCUUGUCUCCGGGAGUUUUUAAUUACUCGCCGGCUUUAGUCUCUGGAAAAAUUGUUUCCUUGCCGGCUUAUGUAAUCAUCAGACUCUAAAUUAUAUCAGUGAAAUCCUUAUUGUAGUGAGAAAAAAAAAGCAAGGGUUUAUGGAUAGAGAAAGAGGUGGUUGAGUCAUUGCACUAUUAGGAUAGAGUUUAGAGAUUUUAUGUUUAAGUUUGUAGUCAAAGUUUCUUUAUUUUGG